AUGUCGCAUUCUCGGCCUCGCCGGGACUGGGAGGAGGACCAUGGCGGUGCUGGUGGUGAAGACCGGCGGGGAUCACCGCAGGCGAAGCGACCGAGAGGCUGCUGCUCCUGCUCUUGCUGCCUAGAGAAAAAAGAUUUCUACGAGAGCCAAAAUGAAAUACUCAAGAAGGAAAUGGAAUGUAUGUCAAAGGGUUUCGUGGAGGAGCGCAAAACCCUGCAGAAAGAGAUGCAACAAUUUUACCAAAGUUCCCAGCUGCAGCUCCAUGAACUAAUCACUGAGCAAGGCAGGAGGAUGCAAGAAUGUCACAAGAAUUUCCGGCUAAUAUGGGAACAGUUAAACAACCAACUUUUGAAGAUAGAAAAUUCUGGAGACCAUGUUCAGCAAUACAGUAAUCCCAGGACUUGCUCUGAUGAAGGCGAACAUAGAAAAUAUCGAAUGAAAUUUGAGAACAAAUGCUGCGAUACCCAGUACUCGAGACAAGACAUAAUGGCAGAUGAUGAUCAUCCUCUAAAGGUAGCUAUAUAUGAUUGUGAUAACAGGAUCAUUACAGAAGGACCCUUAUCCUCAAUUCAAGUUAAGGUUGUUGUCCUUCACGGUGAGUUUAACAAUGAUCAUAAAGAGCAUUGGAAGCGAGAAUACUUCCAUGAGAAAAUGAUAUCUAGCCGGCCUGGAAAACCACCAUUACUUUCUGAAGACUUGUAUCCAAGGUUGGAGGGUGGUAUGGCUAACAUCUAUGGUGUCAAAUUCCAAGACAAUUCAAGUUUUGUUCCAAGCAAAAGAUUCAGGCUCGGAGUCAUGGCUGCUGAUGAUAGUAUGUCAGAGAAGAUCCAGGAAGGAAUAUCUGAAUCUUUUGCCGUAAGGGAUCGUCGGGGAUUAUGUAAGUUUACACAGUUCUAUUCUAGCUUCGACAUUUAG
rnacentral:rRNA from 1 species